GGCGACGGCGAUGGAGGGCGCGGCGGCGGCGGCGGGGGCGGGGGCGGGGGCGGGGUUGCCCAUGGUGAAGUUGCGGGGAGGCGACGGCGUGGAGUUCUCGGUGCAGGCCCGGCGGCUGGCGGAGCUCGCGCCGCGACACGUAUGGGACCUGCCCGCCAUCGAGUCCGGCGACAUCUACGACACCGUGCAGCUCUACCGCAGGAACGCCGAGCGCUUCACGAGCCGCGCCACCGGCGGGCUGCUUCCCCAGGGGGUCCUGAACGUGCAGACCAUCUUCGCGCAGAGAGUCAACGACCUCGACACCCUCGGCCACCUCACAAGGGCUGCGAUUGUUCUCGGCAUGGAAGAUCUCAAGGAUGAAUGCUACAAUAGGAUGCUGCAAGAUCAUCAGAUGGGACCACAGCAAGUGAAGCUGUUUUUGCAGAAUGUGCUGGGACACCCGUGAACGGUUCCGCAAAUGGCAUUUUUCCUAGUUAUCAUUAGCAGAUCAUCACCCUGGUCUAUACCUAGCUAGUGAAGUAUAUACUGCCUAUGUUUCAGGAUAGGUUAAGUCUUAAGUACAUACAUGGCUAGAACUCUGUUAAGCCGACUGCGUGCCUGCGUGCACUUUAUCAGGUCUAGAUGUGAGAGCUACUUGAGUUGUUUGGUGCUAAGGCCGAUUCGAAUUGCUCUUAUCAAUUCAGAAUUCACAAGCUUACCAGCUC
rnacentral:lncRNA from 1 species